AACCUUUUAAAAGUGGGAAAUUUUGCCACUAUUCAAAGGAAUAGUGAAAUGGGUCACAAAAGCAUGAAUUUCACUGUUUAUAAGCAUGGGCAAAUCUGAGCCUUCCAUCACCGCUACAUCUCAACCGCCCGAUUUACUUCUUCUCCCUUCUCCUUUCGCUGGCACAUGUAUCUCUCUCACUCACUCACUCACUCACUCUCUCUCUCUCUCUCUCUCUCUCUCUCUCUCUCUCUCCCUUUCUAGAUCUAGAAAAUUUAGGGUUUUGGCUAUGGUUGAGCACGCAGAAAUCGAAGGCCAAAUCAACGCUUGAGAAGAUCGCCCAAAAAAAUCACCAAUGAGACUCAUCUUCCAACUCCGAUUCCGAAUUCGUCAGUCAGUUAAUAGCUCCUCUCAAUCGUUCGCGGUCAAGGCGGAGGAGAUGAUGAGGAUGAUAACAAGUUUUAGAGUGUAUUUUGAAUUCUUUCAAACCUCUACUCACAGACGGCACACAAAUCCAACGUUUUUCUCAAAGCGUGGGUUUGUUCUGGCGGGUAAAGGAAGCAUUUCUCAACUGGAAUGUAUAGUUUGCCUUUGAAGAAAUUACAUGGAUACUCAUAAAUCUGGGGUAACAUUCAAGCAAGAUGUCUUGGAUGAAACUGGAGACAUGGCUUUCACAUCAUUUAGCAAAGAGUGUGAGAACCCUAUGCAAGCUCCUGUCUGCUGAAAUUUACUCACAGUGAAAGACGAUAGGGAUGAGGAUUUCAAGAAUGAGGGUUUGAUAUUGUGGGCACUCACAAUCAAUGUCCACAUCCUGUUUUAGCUCAAGCCAAAUAUCUCAACGCCGAAAGCCUACCCGUCGGUGGUGGUCAAGAAGGAAAAGCAAUCACACCCAUAAUUUAUUCCAGCGAACGCUUCAACGACGUUGUUUCCCGGUUCACAGAUCUACUUGCUUUGGGUUAUGUUUUCAGUCAUUUCAUCAUCCACAAUUUCGCUAUUCUUUCCACAUUUUCUCCCCUUAAAUUACGGCUCCAUAUCCAGGGUUCUAUUCAAUUUUUCGCUAUAUUUUCUCUUACAACCGGGUUUCAGUUUCUUCUUUUACAGGUUCGCUUAUGUGUCUAUGUUGGCCCCUUUCACAAGGGUUUUUAGGUUUGGGUUCAGAAUAAUUUGGAAGAUAUAUUUUGCAAUUUCAACAAUAUUUCUUGAGGCUCUAAAUGAUGGGUUGUUCACUUUAUAACCCUAUCUUUGCUUCAUUUUUUCACUAUUGAUAGCGCUUUACUUAUAAAAGCUAUUAAAUCACCUUGGUCGUUAAUUACUCAAAAUAUAUACUAGGUUUAGUACAUAAGUUAGGCUUUUAUCACCUUGGUUGUUAAUUACUCAAUAAUUAGUAUCUUAUGUGUUCCUGAAUAUAGGGCUUUAAUCAUCUGAUUUUGGUAGUUUGACUGGAUUUAAAGUAUAAGAUAUUUUGAUGCUAUGAAUGUUUGAUUUUGGUGUUGUUGUAAUGGUUAUCGUUAUCCAUGUAAUCUCCAUUUAUGUCAUGUUCCUCAGUGACAUUGUAUUGCCUUUGAUGGAUACAAUGCUUAUUUUCAUGUGGCAGUUGCUUAGGCUGUAGUAACACUUACUUUUACUUGAAUAGUCUGACCUGAUUAUCUUGAUAGUUUGUUCUUUUUUCUCUUUUGAUCAACUUUUAAAUGUAUAAGGGGAAAACCGGAAAAAAACCUUUUCCAUUGCACAAUAACAUCUGUUUAGGUCGAUGAAUGAGGAACAAGAUAACCCGGCUUUAUAAUGCUUUGGAACACAAAUUAGAUGUCCUACAUAGCACUUCAACAAUAUUAAAAGUUCAACAAUGUAUGCAUCAACAUCCAAAAGUAUGUGGACACCCACACAAAUGGGAAAACUACAGUUUGAAGUUCAGUGUUAGCCGAGUCAGCCAGAAACCUUUGAUCUCAACACAAACUC